UACGGAGGGUGCAAGCGUUAUCCGGAUUUACUGGGUUUAAAGGGUGCGUAGGUGGGCAGGAAAGUCAGUGGUGAAAUCUCCGGGCUUAACCCGGAAACUGCCAUUGAUACUAUUUGUCUUGAAUACUUUGGAGGUAAGCGGAAUAUGUCAUGUAGCGGUGAAAUGCUUAGAUAUGACAUAGAACACCGAUUGCGAAGGCAGCUUACUACACGAUCAUUGACACUGAGGCACGAAAGCGUGGGGAGCAAACAGG
rnacentral:rRNA from 1 species